UAUAUAUCCUGCAUGGGCCUCCCAGCCUGAGUUGGGAGGAGCAGACCUAAUGCUGGCAGGGAGGGUUCAUAGGUUGUCCUCGUACAGAAAAGGACAGAAUGCAUGUCUGGACAUGUGAGGUGUCCACACAAGCCAGGAAGAGAUGGGACUGGCUAGUAUCUCUGUCCGAGGAGCUUUGGAGGGGAGGCCUCAGACAGAAGCACAGGGACACCUAGUGUAGCUGGCAAGCUCACAGGAGAAAAGGCAAGGGGGCAACCAUCUGCCAGGGCACAGAGGCCAGCCGAUGGCCACAAGGAGUCUCCAGAGGCCAGCAAGAGUCACACAAACUGGAACAGGGCCUGGGAAAGGCCCUUCUGUGUGCCCAGGCCUGCUUCUCCAACACCGGGAGCCCAGAAACAAAGGGGCCAUUCUCUCUAGGAUGUGAUGCUGCCAUCUCCGGCUGGCAGUGCCAGGUGGUGGGGGCAUCAGGGGGUGUCAAUCUAUUAUCCCCCCCUCAACUCUUAGGUCCUCUGGGGCUGGAUGUUGGGGAGGUGGGUGUUCCAUGCUGUUUCCAUGGCAACCUCCCCAACCCCCACUUUCCUAAGCACAAAGAGAGACAGCUUUCACCCCCACCCCCAGGAAGAACCUGGGUCUGGUUGGGAAUCUUCCCUUGGGAAUCCUCCUUUCUGAUGCACAAGCCUUGGCAUGCAUGAGCAUCACCCUCUUUUCAGCACUGGAGCCGAGCUGUACAGGCAGAGAGGCUGGUGCAUCCAGAGACUCUGGGAAGGUUGUGCGAGUGAGCAGCAGUCCCUUAUACUUAACCGCUCUCCCCGCAAUCUCUCCUGUCCCUCACUUACCACCCAGGCCAGUCUGAGCCGAAGUGACAGAGGCCUUGACCUUCUAGUCUUUCCCAGAAGUGAGGGACACCCUGCUACCUCCAGCAAGCCUCCAGGCUGUGGGAACGGGAGAAGAGGAGGGGGUCAUCGCUGCCACCCUCCAUCUGCACCCUCCACCAUUACUCAUUAGGCAUUCUGCCCCCUCCUUCCGCUCGUUAAGCCUGAUUUGCAUACAUUUGCAUAAUACAACUCAUUUGCAUUCCAGGAGGCUCAUGGUAGGAGCCAGGAAAAAAGGGGAGGAGAAGAGAGAGAAAAGGGGAGAGAUUUUGUUUUCAUCAAAGUGUGUGGGGGGGGAGGUGGCAGGAAGAGGACAGAAAUAAAAACUCACACUACUUUCUUUCUUCCCUUCUGUCGCCCCUCCCUGAGCUGUACUCAGAUGCCAAAGAGAGAUGCCAAGGGGCCAGCUUUUCUGUCCUUUUUUGUCUUGCUUCCUCUGGCCUUGGCUCCCCAGCCUGGCCCCCCACCUUGCUGGGCUCAGGCUUCAGGAAGAGAGAGACGGGUAGGAGGCACUGCUGUGGGAACGGAAGCAGAGGGAGAGGGAGAGGGAGAGGGAGAGGGAGACCGAGACCGAGACCGAGACCGCCAUCUCAUGCAGCUGCCCUAAGAUGGCCACCUCUGACAGGUGGAUGGACACAGCGGCGGCGGGCCGGCCAGAACAUGGAGGAGUCUUCCUGCCAGUGGAGUUGGGAAGAGAGGAUGAGAGAGAGGAAGGCAGGAGGAGUGAGACAUGGCAGCCCGAAAGGAGGAUGAGCCCGGCACGGGAGCAGGGCUGGGGGAGAGGCCUUCCUUCCUUCCAGACCCCUGGUGAACACCGGUGGUCAGAGGCCUUGACGAAGGAUCUGAUGGACUGUGGGUGACGGACGUAUACUGGAGGGGUCAGAAGUGGGCGUCUCAGCAGGAGGAAGUAGAGUCCAUCUACAGGCAUUUACCGAGCACCUGCUGAGUGCCAGGGGCUGUGUGAAGACAAAGGUGGGAUACAGGGCUGCCCCGAGGAGGUAGUGGGAAGGUUGACCUGUGCCAGAUGUUGCAGGGGCAUGGGGCAGGGCAGUGAGGCAUGGCCUCCUGGAGGGGCCCAAGGAGAAGUGGUGAGAUAAAGGUAGACAGGGUGUUGUUAAGUCCAAGGCCUGAGGGAGUUGGUGGUGGAGAGUGGACAGGCAGGGAGGCAGGAAACAGGCUAUUAUGGGGGUGGGCUGUCCAUUAUGGGGACUCUGGGCUAGAAGGUGAUAGGACAUGGAGGCAAAAGUGGGUUAUGAAGAGCCUUAGGGGCCCCACCAGGGAGUACCGGGGAGUUGGCUGACAGCCUCAGAGAUGCUGGGUGCAGGGUGUGGCUGGGGAGCAGGAGGGACCAGGGCACCGCAUCUAGCUGCCCACUCCGUCCAGUGCCCAACUAGACAUUUCACUGGCUCUCGGUUAGUUCUGCAAAUGAAGGACCAGAUGAAAGGCCUGGGAGCCACCCAGGGAAGGGUCUCCGGCUCUUUCCCUAGACUUGCUCCGCCACCACAUGCAUGCCGCAUGCCACCUGCACGCAGCCAGGAAAUUCCAGAAUCCUGCCUGCCCCUGUCUGGGGACGUCCUUCCCAAGGUCUUAUGGAGAUCUGUACUGCAGAAGUACCGUUGGCUUGACGUGGCCAAUCUGAGAGACCAAAAAGAAGGACCUAUUUCACCCAGGUGGUGUGGGUUCCCUCUGAGAAGCCUUCCUAGGUUGACCAAAGGAUGAGGCGAAUACUCCAGCAAGCUGACUGGCUGCUCCAGGAAGCCUCUGAGCAUGAUGGACGUGGCAUGGCCCUAGCUCCAGCCUGGCUGCCCAUUAUGUUGGAGCCACCUGGAGACGGCUUCCUUGUACCCAUGCUCCCGUGUCAACAGCUGUCCACCGUGGCCCACCCCAGUCCCUCCAGUAUUGUCUGAGUCGCUAUCCUCUGAGAUGGAGGUCCCAUCUCAUGUCUAAUAAAGACUCCUGAAUGUUGACCCA